UUUUUCAAAAAGUUGUUUAUAACCAUCUUG
rnacentral:piRNA from 1 species